AUUGAACGCUGGCGGCAGGCCUAACACAUGCAAGUCGAGCGAGCGGCGGACGGGUGAGUAAUGUCUGGAAAACUGCAUGAUGGAGGGGGAUAACUACUGGAAACGGUCGCUAAUACCGCAUACCAUCAGAUGUGCCCAAAUGGGAUUAGAUGGUAGGUGGGGUAACGGCUCACCUAGGCGACGAACCCUAGCUGGUCUGCGUGGAUGACAAGCCAUACUGGAACGGAGACACGGUCCAGACUCCGACGGGAGGCAGAAGUGGGGAAUAAUGCACAAUGGGCGCAAGCCUGAUGCAGCCAUGCCGCGUGUGUGAAGAAGGCCUUCGGGUUGUAAAGCACUGUCAGCGGGGAGGCGUUACCCGCAGAAGAAGCACCGGCUAACUCCGUGCCAGCAGCCGCGGUAAUAC
rnacentral:rRNA from 1 species